GUAGGUGGCAAGCGUUGUCCGGAAUUAUUGGGCGUAAAGCGCGCGCAGGCGGUUCUUUAAGUCUGAUGUGAAAGCCCACGGCUCAACCGUGGAGGGUCAUUGGAAACUGGAGAACUUGAGUACAGAAGAGGAAAGCGGAAUUCCACGUGUAGCGGUGAAAUUCGUAGAGAUGUGGAGGAACACCAGUGGCGAAGGCGGCUUUCUGGUCUGUAACUGACGCUGAGGCGCGAAAGCGUGGGGAGCAAACAGGGAUUAGAUACCCUGGUAGUCCACGCCGUAAACGAUGAGUGCUAAGUGUUAGGGGGGUUUCCGCCCCCUUAGUGCUGCAGCUAACGCAUUAAGCACUCCGCCUGGGGAGUACGGCCGCAAGGCUG
rnacentral:rRNA from 1 species